UACGGAGGGUGCAAGCGUUGUUCGGAAUCAUUGGGCGUAAAGCGCGUGUAGGCGGCUUGGCAAGUCAGUUGUGAAAGCCCGGGGCCCAACCCCGGAAUUGCAUCUGAAACUGCCUGGCUAGAGUCCCGGAGAGGAAGGCAGAAUUCCCGGUGUAGGGGUGAAAUCCGUAGAUAUCGGGAGGAACACCAAUGGCGAAGGCAGCUCGCUGGGACGGUACUGACGCUGAGACGCGAAAGCGUGGGGAGCAAACAGG
rnacentral:rRNA from 1 species